UACACCUCUGAAAUGUGAUUUUUUUCUUUUCUUAUCUUUAUGUUCUUAUCUUCAGUAGAGCUUUUUCACUUCAGUGGAUUUUGUUCAUCUUGGACAACAAAGCUUAUGUUAGAUCAGCUGAGGCCACUUGGACCUCAGAUUCAGGUACCGUGAAGGAAUGAAUCGCUCUACUAAACCAUCUCCUCCACAUUUAUCCAGCAGGAUUACAGAGAUGUCUGCCAUGCCAAAAAUGAGAGCUGAGCCGAUCAGCAUCUUAACUUUGGAGGGGUUCUGGACACACUGGAACAUGCUUCUGAUUCUUCAGUCAUAAUGACCUCAGCAUCCACCCAAAUGAGGAAGCCUGAUGGCCUCAAGAUGUAGAUGAGAGGCAGAGAAUAUGAUGCUCUGCUCAUAGAGUCCUGCAGCCAGGCUUUGGAAGAAAGCAAUUAAAAUCCCUCCUGCACAGAAAGGUCUUCAGAACUCAAAAUUCCCAAUAAAUCUGUUGCAUCAGUUCACUGAAA